rnacentral:rRNA from 1 species
AUUACCGGAAGACAGCAGUGGGGAAUUUUAGGACAAUGGGCGCAAGCCUGAUCCAGCAAUGCCGCGUGCAGGACGAAGGCCUUCGGGUUGUAAACUGCUUUUGUACGGAACGAAAAGGUCUGCCCUAAUACGGCGGGCCCAUGACGGUACCGUAAGAAUAAGCACCGGCUAACUACAUGCCAACAG